AACGAACGCUGGCGGCAUGCCUAACACAUGCAAGUCGAACGAGACCUUCGGGUCUAGUGGCGCACGGGUGCGUAACGCGUGGGAAUCUGCCCUUAGGUACGGAAUAACUCAGGGAAACUUGAGCUAAUACCGUAUAAUGACUCCGGUCCAAAGAUUUAUCGCCUAAGGAUGAGCCCGCGUCGGAUUAGCUAGUUGGUGAGGUAAAAGCUCACCAAGGCGACGAUCCGUAGCUGGCUGAGAGGAUGAUCAGCCACACUGGGACUGAGACACGGCCCAGAC
rnacentral:rRNA from 1 species